UACGUAGGGCGCAAGCGUUAUCCGGAAUUAUUGGGCGUAAAGAGCUCGUAGGCGGUUUGUCGCGUCUGCCGUGAAAGUCCGGGGCUCAACUCCGGAUCUGCGGUGGGUACGGGCAGACUAGAGUCAGGUAGGGGAGAACGGAAUUCCUGGUGUAGCGGUGAAAUGCGCAGAUAUCAGGAGGAACACCAAUGGCGAAGGCAGCACUCUGGGACGUGACUGACGCUGAGGCGCGAAAGCGUGGGGAGCAAACAGG
rnacentral:rRNA from 1 species